GGGGCCUCUAAUUAAGGUGAGUGAGAAAGAUAUAGGUUUGAGGAAUGGCAGUUACCCUGGGACUCCUUAGGCUAAUCUUAAGAGGUGGAUUUUUAGAAACUUCUUGGAGACUUGUGCAUAGACUAGGUUUGGGUUCCCCCAUCAGAGAAGUCAUACCAUCAUGAGUUAGCAGUACGGGUCUGAGCAGCGGAUAGGAGAAGGUCAGCACCAGAGUGGCCAAGAAUGGGUCUCUUUAUGCAUUUGUGAAUAAAUGUAACAGGGUUUGAGUUGUUAAGAGCUUUGUAGGUAAGAAUUAAUAUUUUGAAUGGAACCGUAUAGAAAACAGAAAGCCAGUUUUACGAUUUGCUGAAGGGUGACUUUUGAGAGGAGUGGUGGGAGAGAAAAAUAAGCCUGGCAGCAGCAUUAAUUAUGGAGUGUAGUGAGACAGUAUGGUUUCAGGAGAGACUAAUUAGGAGACAAUAACAGUAGUCAAUGCGAGAAAUUCCCUUGCUCACAGUGCCUAGAGAGAUAUCAGC